rnacentral:rRNA from 1 species
GACGAACGCUGGCGGCGUGCCUAAUACAUGCCAGUCGAGCGAACCAAUGGGAGCUUGCUCCCUGAGGUUAGCGGCGGACGGGUGAGUAACACGUGGGUAACCUGCCUGUAAGAUUGGGAUAACUCCGGGAAACCGGAGCUAAUACCGGAUAAUAUUUUGAACCGCAUGGUUCAAAAUUGAAAGACGGCUUCGGCUGUCACUUACAGAUGGACCCGCGGCGCAUUAGCUAGUUGGUGAGGUAACGGCUCACCAAGGCGACGAUGCGUAGCCGACCUGAGAGGGGGAUCGGCCACACUGGGACUGAGACACGGCCCAGACUCCUACGGGAGGCAGCAGUAGGGAAUCUUCCGCAAUGGACGAAAGUCUGACGGAGCAACGCCGCGUGAACGAUGAAGGCCUUCGGGUCGUAAAGUUCUGUUGUUAGGGAAGAACAAGUACCAGAGUAACUGCUGGUACCUUGACGGUACCUAACCAGAAAGCCACGGCUAACUACGUG